UACGUAGGGUGCAAGCGUUGUCCGGAAUUAUUGGGCGUAAAGAGCUCGUAGGCGGUCUGUCGCGUCGGAUGUGAAAAUCCAGGGCUCAACCCUGGACCUGCAUUCGAUACGGGCAGACUAGAGUUCGGCAGGGGAGACUGGGAUUCCUGGUGUAGCGGUGAAAUGCGCAGAUAUCAGGAGGAACACCGGUGGCGAAGGCGGGUCUCUGGGCCGUAACUGACGCUGAGGAGCGAAAGCAUGGGGAGCGAACAGG
rnacentral:rRNA from 1 species